rnacentral:misc_RNA from 1 species
ACAGAAAGUGCAGAGAAAGAGAUGAGAGAAAUGGAGUGUACGGAGGAAGACAAGCAACUAUUGCGAAAAAUCGCCAAAAUCCUCGACGAAGUCAAGGCCUCAAACGCCACACACAUCCGAAAGCUUAAAGAGAUCUCCACUCUCCGUUCAAAAUCUCCGUCUUCUCUCCAAUUUGCUGCUCUCUUCUUCAAAACCCUGAUCCCUCUUUUCCAAAUCCAGCGCCGCACCACCUCUACAGAACGCGUCGUGCGCUUCGUCUCAGUCUUCACCAGCGCUCGUGACUCCAACAACUCCUCCGCUCGCGAUGAGUUUCUUGGGGAGUUUUUGAAGUUUCUACUAGUUGCUGCCAUGUCUGCCAACAAGACCGCUAGAUUUAGAGCUUGUCAGAUUAUCUCUGACAUCAUAAUGCGUUUGCCGGAUGACGCAGAAGUAAGCGAUGAUCUAUGGGAUGAGAUAAUAGAGAGCAUGAAAGUACGGAUGGGGGACAAGGUUCCUGUUAUUCGUACUUUUGCAGUUAGAGCACUGUCCCGAUUUGCAAACGAUACAGAGAACAGUGACAUCCUUGAUUUAUUUCUCAGUGCUCUUCCGUUAGAGCAGAAUGCCGAGGUUCGUAAAACAAUUGUAUUAGCUUUGCCACCUUCAAAUGCAACCUCACUAGCUAUUGUCAAUUGCACUCUGGAUGUGAGUGAGUCAGUUCGCAAAGCUGCAUACUGCAUUCUAGCUGAUAAAUUUCCCCUUCAAAGUCUCAGCAUAAAACUCAGGACAGUAAUUCUUCAGAGAGGCCUGGCAGAUCGUUCUGUAGCUGUUUCAAAAGAAUGUUUAAAGUUAAUGAGAGAUGAGUGGCUUUCUAAGUGCUGCAACGAUGACCCUGUAGGACUUCUUAAGUACCUUGAUGUUGAAACCUAUGAAUCUGUUGGGGAAUCUGUUAUGGUUGCCUUGUUACAAGAUGGAUUAGUGAAGUUAUAUGAUGGUCAAAGUAUUCGUCAGUGUAUAUCAUCCACAAUUAGUGAAAUUGAAGACUACAAUGGAAGCAUCCAUCUAAUGGAGCCGGAAUUUGCACUUUAUUGGAAGACUGUGUGCAAGAACUUGCAGAAAGAAGCACAAGAAAAAGGCUCUGACGCUGCCACUACAAUGGGCACCGAGGCUGCAUUAUAUGCAGCCGAGGCUUCAGAUAAAAAUGACCUUCUAGAAAGGAUACUUCCUGCAACAGUUUCUGAUUACAUAGUUUUGGUCAAAGCUCAUAUAGAUGCUGGAUCAAAUUAUCAUUUUGCAUCUCGGCAGUUAUUAUUGCUUGGUGCAAUGCUUGAUUAUUCUGAUUCUACAAGCAGGAAAGUUGCUAGUUCAUUUGUGCAGGAAUUAUUGCACAAGCCACUUGAUCAUGAGGUGGAUGAUGAAGGAAACCAGGUUGUCAUAGGUGAUGGCAUAAACCUUGGUGGUGACAAAGAGUGGGCUAAUGCAGUAUCUAGUUUAGCUAGGAAAGUGCACGCUGCUACUGGUGAAUUUGAAGAAGUAGUUGUUGGGGUGAUUGAAGAGCUGGCUCGUCCUUGCAGGGAGAGAACAGCAGAUUUCAUGCAAUGGAUGCACUGCCUGGCUGUUACUGGUCUUCUCUUGGAAAACUCAAAAUCAUUACACCGGCUUCAAGGGAAAGCUAUUGAACCUUCUGAACUGCUGCAAUCUUUAUUGCUUCCUGGGGCAAAACAUGUUCACUUGGAUGUGCAGAGGGUUGCCAUCAGGUGUCUUGGCCUGUUUGGCUUGUUAGAGAAGAAGCCAAGUGGAGAAUUAGUGAAGCAGCUGAAGAUUUCUUUUGCUAGGGGUCUUGCUCCAAUUAGUACAAUGGCAUGUAAGGCAUUAAUUGAUCUUGCCAUGUGGCAUGGUCCCCAAGAAAUUGACAAGGCACUGGGGCAGGAGCAUGUAUCUGGAUUUCAGGAUAGUAAGAAGGCAUUUAAUGCUGUAAACAUUUCUGAUGCCGAUGAGAAUUUAAAUAUUGAAUUGCUUGAUCUGUUAUAUGCUGGUCUUGGCAGAAAUGAUUGGGUAAAAUCUGUAGAAUUUGAUGAAAAUGAGACAGUGCAAGCCAUUCUUGGUGAGGGUUUUGCUAAAAUUCUUCUUCUUAGUGAGAAGUAUCCAAGCAUACCAACCUCUUUACAUCCUCAAAUCUUAGCCAAGCUCAUUAUUUUGUAUUUCAGCAAUGAAACAAAAGACCUGCAGAGGUUAAAGCAGUGUUUGUCUGUGUUCUUUGAGCAUUAUCCUUCCCUCUCAGUUAAUCAUAAGAAAUGUUUGUCCAAGGCUUUUGUUCCAGUCAUGCGUUCAAUGUGGCCAGGCAUCUAUGGAAAUGCUGGAGGUGCUGCCUCUUUGGUCUCAAAUAUGCGUAAGCGGGCAGUCCAAGCAUCACGAUUUAUGCUGCAAAUGAUGCAGGCCCCCUUGUUUGCUAAACAAACUAAAAUUGAGGAUGAAAAUGGCAGUACAGAAUUACCAGAAACUAUAGACAGCACUUUGCAACCUUCAUUUGAUUGUGGAGAGGAGGGACUUGCAAUAUGCAUAGCUGCUGAGGUGGCAAGCUUUGCUAUUAAGAAGACACCUGCUGAGAAGUCAUACAUCUCAGCAUUAAGCAGGAUACUCGUCUUGCUUCGUUUUCGUUUAUCAGAACAAGAAGCAAUAAAAUUAAUGAGAAGGCUUUUGAAUCAUGUGGCUGAAUCCAUAUCAGCAGAGAAAGAUCUUGUAAAGGAAUUGAAGCUGAUGGUUGAACGCCUCAAGUCAUUAGAUAAACAACCAGAUGAGGAAUUGUCGCAAGAUCAAGCUAAUCAGAUUUUGGGGAGGUUGGAAUUGGACUUUAACUUGGAUGUUGAUAGCUGUGAUGCUGUGCCACAAACACCAGCCCCACUACAAUCAUCUAAACGAACCCGCACCAAAAGACGAGCAAGGUGUGACGAACAGACUUCUUCAGAUGAAGAAACUUCAUCGACCACUGUUGUUCAAACCUUUCAUGGCACUUCAGUUCGGUCACAGAGGGCAAGCAAGACUGCAGCCCUAAGCAAGAUGACUGGUAGCAGAGUUAGGAUAGCUGAAAAUGAUGACGAAGAAGAAGGUUCAGAGGUAAUAUCAGAGGAGGAUUCUGAUGACUCUGACCAGUAUACUGAAUGACCGAAAUUUACAGAUUCCUCUGCAGAUGCUGUGCUUUCUCAGUCACCAUAAUGUAUUGUUGUAAGCCUGUCUGUCUCCUUGUUAACCUUGAUGUUUUGUACAUAAUAGUGAAUGGUUUUUGGGGUGGAGUUGGGUAUACUACUUGUAUAAUAAGCCCAAAAAAUGAUAUUGUACUUGCGUUAAACUUCACCCAAAUGUCUUCAAGAAUUUCACAAUUCUGUACCACACAUUAUGCCAAGUUAAAGAGUGCUUUGUAGUUAUUACUCUGGUCCAAAUGGCAAAGCAGUUACCGUUCUUGCUAGUGAUGUAAAGUUUGAUCAUCAUUUACAUCUAUGGAUGGGGGUUUAGGGUCACUCCUAUUCGUGCAGGAGCUUUACUUGAGAUUUAUAUAUGUAUAUUAUUACUAAUGUUGAAGAUCAGCAAGAACAGCUGAAGGUUGAGGCAUCUGUGACCUAAUAUAUGGUUGAGGAGCAUUUGUGAAGAAUGUCAAGCGGCAGUUAGCCACCAAUGUUUG